rnacentral:rRNA from 1 species
CUAAACUGAGGAAAGUCGGCCGAAACUGACCGACUCGAGGAACGUAGAGGGAAGCGGAACUCUCGGAGUAGCGGUGAAAUGCGUAGAGACCGAGAGGUACCCCGAUGGUGAAGACAGCUUCCUGGGCGUUUCCUGACGCUGAAGCACUAAGGCCAGGGGAGCGAAGGGGAUUAGAUACCCCCGUAGUCCUGGCUUCAAACGAUGUGGGCUUGGUGUCGGCCCCCGACAGAGGGUCGUUGCCGGAGCUAACGUGUUAAGCCCACCGCCUGGGGAUUACGUCCGCAAGGAUGAAACUCAAGGGAAUUGACGGGGGCCCACACAACCGGUGGAGCACGUGGUUUAAUUCGAUGAUAAGCGAAGAACCUUACCAGGGCUUGACCUAGCGGUAGUAGGAUCCUGAAAGGGAAACGACCUCAAGCUUUGCUUGAGGAGCC